rnacentral:lncRNA from 1 species
AAAUUAAAACUUUUUAUUCAAAAUUAAAAUUUAGAAUGUGAAAACUCAUAAAGUUUAGAUAUUUUUUGAGCCGAUAGACCUUUAAAAUAAAAGUUGAUCUAUGCAUUAUAAAAAACCUAGAACUUGCAAAAUUGUGAUGAAACAUAGGCUAAAAGAGGAAAACAUGGGUGAAACCAGGUUGUGUGACUUAGUUCAUAAUUUCUACCGUUUCUCUGUAAAACUCAUUCUUUCAAACAAUAGAUUAUAUUAUAAUUAAAACUACGAAAAGACUUUGUGUAAAUCCAUCACAGUCGUGCUAUACACUAUUUACUUUUUUGAGUAAUGUCACGAACCACUAUCCUUCUUAUCUUUUUGCUUCCCAAACUUAAAAUUUGUCUCGUAUACUUUAACUUCCUUCAAGGUAAUUUGAUUCCAAAGGUUGCUGUUUUUAAGUCCCAUGGCUUGUGUUCUUGUAUUGCUUGCUUCAUAAUCCUAAUUUUUUUGUGUGGUUGGUAUUUCUUUUUUAUUUCUCAGAAAGUUAAAAGAUUUUUUUCUCAGUGAAAAAUGAUUAACUUACUUAUUUCGAUCUAGUUAAGUUAUUAAAUGGGAAUGACUUUGCAGAAAAUAAUACGGUGAUAGUGUAGGCAGGAACAACUGUUCCCAAAUUAAUUUUCUGUCAAGAAAGGUCCACUACAUGUGCCAUUUCAGGUACUCUCCACCCCCUUUUGUUUCCAUGUUCCUAAUAAUAUCCUGAAAAAGCAUCCCAUUUCUGUAAAGUUGAAGCAACUCACAGCUAAGAUCUUACAAAAAUAGAAAAAACAGCAUUAUUUUAGGAGUAAAUUAUAGCCUAUAAGUGGCAAAAUUUUCAUAAAAUUAAGCAAAACAUCAUUAAAAUGGGAGAAAAGACCAUUUGGGUCAAAGAAUGUGUAUGCAAAUCUAAAUAGGUUGAUGAAAUUAAAAACCACAUAACCUUUUUAGAAACUGCAGAAGUACAUAUAAUUUAUACACUUCUUUCUACUCAAUAUGUGCAAAAUAUGGCCGCCAUGUCCACCAUUGAGUCACAUGCGGAUGGAAGUUUUUUGCACAGAUCGAUCAUCACCUUUUAUAAAAGAUUCAUCCAAUUAUUUUAUGGCAACAUAUACAUGCUUAAUCUGAUUUGAGAAAAUUAGACCCAGUUGGAGUUUUCCCCUUUUACUUUGUGAACCCCGGAAAAGAAGAAGAAGAAGAAAGAAAAUGUCAUUAUCCUAUGACUCACUUAGGACAGAAGUAGAUGUACGUAGAAAAGGAAACGUAGUAUGUAAUGGACUUGGACUAAAACGUUAACAUACUAAAACAGAUAUAAGCGGCAAGAAGCAAGAAAACUUAGCAGAAAAAGGAGAAAAUACAAGUUAAGGAAGAAGAAGAGAGAGGCUGUGAGGAAGAAGCAGUUGGUUGGGAUUUUAUAAAGGGUUGUACAAAGCUUGCAGCUAGGGUUUCGGGCAGUAGGCGGGCUGUCAUCCAUGAGGUAGAUGCUAAGGGCAGUGCUGGUUUGGCUGCCCAACUAUUUAAA